UGGCGUGCGACUCUGCGCCAGCGCCGGUGCUGUACGUUUGUGAGGGCGGAGCUGAAUUCUCCUCAGCCCAGACACUGAGAGCAUCGCGAGGGCGGAGCUGUGUUCUCCUCUGCACAGACCUCGGGGGUACCGUGAAGACAGAGCAGCGUUCUACCCUGCCCAGACCCUGGCGUGGGGGGCACCGCGAGGGCGGAGCUGCGUUGUGCUCAGCACAGACGUUGGCGGCACCGCCUCGCUUUGGGACAACUCGGGGCCGCAUCCACAGUGAAUAAAAUACUUCCUGUUUCUAGCCCUGAAUAACGAAGAUUUCAGAGGAGAGCCUGGUGUCACUUACAGCAGACAUUGCAGAUGCCUCAGCAUUUCGGAUGAAGACGUAACCAAGGAGCCUUUGAUUAGUAGUGAAAUUGUGGCACCCCAACAAUGGUGGAGUGGAAUAUCCUGCUACUCUGGAGGGGUGAUGGCUCAGGGUCAAGACUGAACUAAUUAGAAAAAGAAAUGCACUCCAGGAAUAUCAAGUCCAAAACGAAGCUCUUCAAACCAUCUGGGAAGAGAAAACAGCAUGACAAGGAAAGGUAUAUUUGUCUGAUCCCAGGAAUCAAUAUAAACAUCCAUGAUAACCCCACCUAUUUUUUAAAUAUAUGAUUUGGAUGAAACAAGAGAAAGAGACUGAUUGUUGCUGAGUCCCUGCUGCAGUCCCGACACAGCUGGAGAUGCCCUGCUCCCCUGCUCCCCUGCUCCCCCGCUCCCCCGCUCCCCCGCUCCCCCGCUCUCCUGCUCUCCUGCUCUCUUUAUUUUGUUGAUGCUCAUGAGGACCCUGAUGUCUGAGGAAGAAGGUUCCCGUCCAGCUCUGCCCCUGGUGUGUCACGUGCCGGCCUUGUCAACGCACAGGAGAACCUGACAGGAUGGCACCGAAAGUGAAGAAGGAAGUUCCUGCCCCUCCUAAAGCCAAAGCCAAAGCCAAAGCUUUAAAGGCCAAGAAGGCAGUGUUGAAAGGUGUCCACAGCAACAUACAGAAAAGAAGAUCCGCAUGUCAUUCACCUUGAGGUGGCCCAAGACACUGCGACUCCGGAGGCAGCCCACAUAUCCUCGGAAGAUCACCCCCAGGAGAAACAAGCUUGACCACUAUGCUAUCAUCAAGUUUCCGCUGACCACUGAGUCGGCCAUGAAGAAGAUAGAAGAAAACAACAUACUUGUGUUCAUUGUGGAUGUUAAAGCCAACAAGCACCAGAUUAAACAGGCUGUGAAGAAGCUCUGGGACAUGGAUGUGGCCACAGUCAACAUCCUGAUUCGACCUGAUAAAGAGAAGAAGGCAUAUGUUCGACUCGCUCCUGAUUAUGAUGCUUUGGAUGUUGCAACAAAAUUGGGAUCAUCUAAACCGAGUCCAACUGACUAACUCUAAAUAUAUGUAUAUCUUUUCACCAUAAAAAAGAAAUAAUGUUUUUCAUAAGAAUGACAACUUAAUUAGAAUCAAAUUUAAAAGCUUUAAGAUUUUACGUUUCUAGUAAGUAUAAUAUUAGCUUAUUUGAGUAGAACUCAAGCAGAAUAGGAAUUUAUGUUUGUUUUAUAUUCGAUAGUGGUAACUUUGAAGACAUAGUUGUUUUAUUACACCAAAAAUAUUAUAUUAACCUUAUUUAACUAAGUUUUAUCCAAAUCGUGUUAACUUAAAAAACAUUUGACCAGUUCCUAUA